GGCUUCUCUGUGCUCUACAUUAUUGUGCCCAGCUCACCUCGUCCUCUACACUGAUUUUCCAAGCUGGUGGAUGGUGAGUUCAUACACCAUCUGGCACAACCCUCACCGGUGUAGCCUCAUACACCAUCUGGUAUUUGUGGAAGGAGCGAAAUGCUCCAAUCUUGAACGAUGCCACCUCCCACCCCUUUAUGUUGGCCCUCAUGAUUGCUGUCCCUGAUUAGCGCGAGAGACUAGCAUCAUGUUACCUCUGUACUUUGUAGCCUCUGUUUAGUAUUUUCCUUUUUGUUUCUCGUUAGGUUGUAAAACUUUUCCCUUUUAUAAUGAUAGCAGCUUUCCUACUUCCUACGUAUUUUGUCAACUAGCUCCAAACUGAAAUCAACGUAUCACCCAGCUCCUAGAUGGUUUCUGCAUCUAAUAAAAAAUUAGACUAGCUAUUUCUGUAUAGUGCUGCUCAAAUGAUAAAAUGAUAGCUGGUGGGCGUGCCCAUCUGACAGAACGGCGUUGUGGUGGGUCUGGUAACAGUUCCAUUCUAGCCUAGGCAAAAUUGUCUUAAGCAUUCGUUGUAUGACGAGGGUGUGCUUAGCAGCUUUCAGUCAUGCUGGCAUCUUGAAUGUUGUAAUUUGCUGGAUUCGAGAUUCUAUUCGUUUAAAAUUUCAAACUAUUGGCAUUUAGGUUUGUUAGGCAUCUUCGCGUCUAGUGACUGUGGCUAGCAGUUGAACGGACUGCACCCUCUCCUUCUUCUGGCUGCCUCCCAUUGAGUGCCCACUGCCAUGCUCACUCUCUCUAUUUGCCCACACACUGAUGCUCAGCAACAUCAAUUCUGCCAUGCAGCGCUGUGCAGCGAGGUAAGCUUUCCCAUUAUUCGCCUUUUGCUUGUUCUAUAAACCAUAUGUUUUGGUUCUGAAUUUGCAUGAACGCUAGGUCUUUGUGUAAGGAAUGUUGGUUGCAGUUGAGGGGAUUGACAAGGAAAAUAUGUAAAAUAUAUCCAAUUGGUCUUAGUGCUAGUUUCGGUCCAACCACAGUGACCUCUAUGUUGUGCUACCUUCAAGCUCUAGUCUCCUUCGUUUGUUCAGUGUCUCUGCAGGAUCGGAGAUUCAAUCUGUAUCCAAGAAAGGCAGACUUGGCAGAGAGAUGAUGCGCUUUUCCAGAGAUCAGCUAAUGGGGACAGCAUUUGUUGCAUUUGGCUCCGUAUUAUUUUUGUGUUUAUUCUACACAGCUAUUGUGUCGAAGCUGCUUCACCAUACGAGAACCGGCUUUUGUCUGCCAUCCAAAAUGAUAGGUAUUACUGCCUACUCGUGCCCUUGUCACUUCCUGUGAUAAUUGUGGCAGUCUAUCUGCAUUGGCUAAGCAUGAAGAUUUUCAAGCACGCGUGAAGCUAGGACACCACGCAAUAGUCUUACGGAAGGAGCCCAUAUUGUUAGGCUAUCAGUCCUUGCAAUCCACACACGCCGUUGCAAACACAUGAACUUUCAUUAGUUUUUCAAGCAUAAAUAGUUGUCAACAUGCCGAAUUGACCUCAGUACUUUAAAUAAAAGUAGGUUUACUAUGUCCCUAAAAAAAGUAGGUUUACUAUGUCCCUAAAAAAAGUAGGUUUACUAAAGUUUCUUUUCAUGAAAAUAGAAUUGUGCUUGUGAAAUGCUCAAUGCUCAUGCUGGAAGAUGCAGUUGUACUAAUUAAAUGCUUAUGAUUGGAAAUGCAAUUGUAAUUCUUAUACAUUUUUUCGUUUUAAAGUAUAA